rnacentral:rRNA from 1 species
CCCUUCCGUAGGGUGAACCUGCGGAAGGAUCAUUACUGAGUGAGGGCCCUCUGGGUCCAACCUCCCACCCGUGUUUAACGAACCUUGUUGCUUCGGCGGGCCCGCCUCACGGCCGCCGGGGGGCAUCCGCCCCUGGGCCCGCGCCCGCCGAAGACACCUGUGAACUCUGUCUGAAGUUGCAGUCUGAGAAACUAUUUAAAUUAGUUAAAACUUUCAACAACGGAUCUCUUGGUUCCGGCAUCGAUGAAGAACGCAGCGAAAUGCGAUAAAUAAUGUGAAUUGCAGAAUUCAGUGAAUCAUCGAGUCUUUGAACGCACAUUGCGCCCUCUGGUAUUCCGGAGGGCAUGCCUGUCCGAGCGUCAUUGCUGCCCUCAAGCACGGCUUGUGUGUUGGGCCCCGUCCCCCCCCUCCCGGGGGGACGGGCCCGAAAGGCAGCGGCGGCACCGCGUCCGGUCCUCGAGCGUAUGGGGCUUUGUCACCCGCUCUUGUAGGCCCGGCCGGCGCUUGCCGACCCCCUCAAUCUAUUUUCAGGUUGACCUCGAUCAGUAGUCC